CAAAGUCUUCUAUCAGCAUCCAAACUUGAUGCGUGUGCUGGGGAUGCAUGAGACGGUGAUGGAGGUCAUGGUGAACGUGCUGGGAGGUGACAAGUCUCAGGCAGCAGAAAUUGCCAAAGAGCAAGAGGACGACCUGAAGGCCGAAUCCGAGAAGGCUGACAUGGAAGACGGCGAGAAAAAGAACAAAGCUAAGGCAGAUGAAGAGUCUGAAUUCCUUGAAAGC